rnacentral:rRNA from 1 species
GUGGGGAAUAUUGGACAAUGGGCGCAAGCCUGAUCCAGCCAUGCCGCGUGAGUGAUGAAGGCCUUAGGGUUGUAAAGCUCUUUCAGUGGGGACGAUAAUGACGGUACCCACAGAAGAAGCCCCGGCUAACUUCGUGCCAGCAGCCGCGGUAAUACGAAGGGGGCUAGCGUUGUUCGGAUUUACUUGGCGUAAAGCGCACGUAGGCGGAUCGUUAAGUCGGGGGUGAAAUCCUGGAGCUCAACUCCAGAACUGCCUUCGAUACUGGCGAUCUUGAGUCCGGAAGAGGUGAGUGGAACUCCUAGUGUAGAGGUGGAAUUCGUAGAUAUUAGGAAGAACACCAGUGGCGAAGGCGGCUCACUGGUCCGGUACUGACGCUGAGGUGCGAAAGCGUGGGGAGCAAACAGGAUUAGAAACCCGUGUAGUCC